ACCGACAUCAGCUUCACCAAAACCGAAAAGCAACACGACCCGGUAUAGCAGCAUAAACACCACCAGCAUCAGCACCACGAGAUCAGCAGCACUAACAACGGUAUUAUUAUCACCAACUCCGACUUCAGCCUAACCACCACUGACAUCGCCACCAUCGGCAUCACCAUAACGGCCACUGGCCCCUACAUCACCACGACUGUUAUUAUCAUCCGGGCCAACGAUAUCUAUUUCAUCAUAUCCGAUAUUGGCAUCACCAACACUCAAAUCAGCAUCAUCACAACCGACAUCAUCAUCUCUACCGCCGACAUUAAAGGGAUCUUUUCACGCUUUGGUAAAUUGACAAAAUUGAAAAAAGUUGUUUCAGAUUCGUAAGUUUUCGUUUUAGUUAUGAUAUUUGUGAGGAAACAGUAAUACUGAACAUUAACCAUGCUCUUAUAUAGCCAUUAUAUGCAUCUUUUGACGAUUUUAAAACCUAAAAAUUAUAAAGCGUUGCAACGCGAAACGAUUGAAUAAUUUGGAGAGUUCUGUUUUUGUCGUUAAAUUUUGUGAAACUACGAAGAUUGCUUAUAUAAGGUAUAAAAUACGUCAUUAAUGUGUACUCGGCGGAAUAGCUCAGUAGGCUAAAGCGUUUUUACUUCAGGACUCUGGCAGGACUCCAGGGUUCACUGGUUCGAAACCUGCUCCGGGCAAUGUUCUUUUCCUUUUUUUAAUUUUUUUCUUGAUUUUUUACUGGAGCUUUUACGAUCCAAUGUUUACAUUUAUCAAUAUAAAGCAUUUAAUGAAUAAGUUAAAAAAUGCCAAAAUCUGUGAAAAGGCCCCUUUAACAGCAGCAUAACAGACAUCAGAAACACUACCGUUUCAAUCAGCAUCACUUACACCGACUUUAGAAACAUUGCCAGAACUUUAGCAGAACCUCGAAUCACCACUGUAAUAAGCAGCACCACAAUCGAUAUAAACAUUUUCCUUACCUGCGCACGCAGGUUUUUUAAAAACGUGUUUAACAACAUACCGCGCAAUUAACAUUCAAAGUUUAUCGAUUGAUAAUUAUUGAUUUCUGGGCUAAAUAUAACUAAUAGUAAAGUUUAGACGAAUGUAGACGACGUCGAACGGGCAGCUAGUACCCUCAAUUUAAGCACUUCACAUUGAGGUGAAUCAAAAUGAAAGUUUAUGUAUAUUUUAUUUAUUGCAUUUUAAUUAAAUGUGUUUUUUCCAACUUUGUUUUUCUUUGUAGCACGAAAUAAAAAUAUUUUAAUAACUUUUAAAUAAUGAUAUACUCUUAUAAGUAUGAUAAAAAUCAUAAUAUAACAAUAUUUUUUUUAUACGUCCGUAUUCUUUUCACAACAAUUUUGAUAUGUAAAAUCACUGCCAUGUCGAGAAAAUUUCCCGCCGGUAGGCUCGAAUUAAACAAGACUAAUUUGGGAUUUUUUUCGGAAAGAAGCGUUGCUUUUUACAAAGAUGCAAACAGAUUGGUAAGCGUGAAAAUAUGUUACCAGGUAUCUCGUAUUUAGUAAUUAAGCGGAUACUCAAAUUUCACUGGCAACACUCCAGAUCGAUACAUUGUUUGUUUUCCGAUUUGACAGCACCAGAGCGUUAAUAUUCGGCCUAAACCAAUAGGUUUGAUUUUCAUCAUAUUGGAAGCAUCUAAAAGUAGUUAAAUGAAAGAGAAAUAUUUUUAUUUUCGCCCACAGUGUCAUUUUGUUCACUGUGACCCGGUAUAUAUCGAUACAAUCGUAACACUUCGUCCAUCUCCGGAUUCUCCGUAAAGAGUAGACUCGUACCUAACUACCAGCCAUCUUGGCUUUGAUACACCCAACGCGUGAUCCGCCUGCGUUAUAAGAACGCAUAAAAAUAGUGAUGCAAUACAUAGAGGGUAAACGCAUUAUUACCAUUCCAAAUCAUUUUCUUAUUAUUUUUUUAUGCAAAAACAAGCAAUUGAAUUAUAUAUAAUUACAUAAUAAAUGAUAAGUUGACUUUUACGGCAAACGUAAUAUUGCAUUGUAUUGUUUACAUUUCAGAGUUAAAAGGGAUUUCAAGUCUGAUCUAGAAUAUGCGACGAGCAAGCUGAAGAUAGAGUUUUAGCGACUACCAAUUGAAAGCCAUAAAGAGUCUUUAUGAUUUGAAAGAUACGAUCGCAGUUCUUCUAACUGGCUCAGGAAAAAGCAUUAUUUUUCAGGGGUUCAGAUUUCUGCAAAGCGUUCAACAGACUUGGAGACCUGACAUGUUUGUUUCCCAAAAUACCUCACUUGGCACUUACAGCGACAGCAACACCAAAUGCUAUAGAAAACCUUAUUGAAAGCCUCCAAUUCAAGAACACGAUUGGGAAAAAUAAGAAAGAAUGCCAAAUAUUCACAAAUAUGAAAAGUAUGAUAUGAUAAUGCAUGAAGUGCUGCCUGAAUUAAAAGACCAACAUAUUGAGUUUAUAGUCACCAUAAAUUAUGUACUGUGAUAAUUUGGAAUCUCUAGGCUAUUGCUUUCAACUACUUUGCUAUGAACUAGAAAAACAUGCAUAUUGUCCUGAAUCCAGUACACAACCAGAAGAUUGAAUUGUAGCACAAUUUCUCAAAAACUACAAGGACAGAAUGAAAGCUCACAUUAUUUCUGAGCUUAGAAAGAAAAAUCCAAAAGUUUGUUAAGUGCUUGAAACAGUUGCCUUAGUUAUGGGUCUAAACGCGCCUUCGAUUGCAAAAGUUAUUGAUAUGCAACCACCUACAACACUUGAAAAGUGCAUGCAAUAAAUCGGUAAGCAGGUUGCAACGGUAAACCUUCAAGUGCCUUGACUGUGUUAUUAUAACAACGGUGACAUUUUGAAAAACCGGAAAGGAAUGGACAUUGAAAUGUUCUCAUACAUUCAAAACAAUUCCACAUGCUUGCGCUUACAUUUGGUUAAUCAUUUUGGCUACAGUAACAGAAUUGUCUUGUUUUCAGGGAACCAAAAUAGUUGUUGUAGUAAUUGUAUGGCUGGUUAAAUGACUGAGAGAUGCCAAUUAGAACCAUUUUCACUCUGAACCAUGAAAGAAUUUAUUCACAACUAUGUUAAAAGUACUUGUUUGUUUUUAUUCACUUUUACAUACAUUAUAUAAACAUGCAAUUUAAAGAAUAUAAUAAGAACAGGGACUGUACAAACAGGUAUGUAUAGGUCCCUGCUAGAAUUGGGCAACAUCUUUCAAUCAAGUACAUGCUAUGUUUUAUCCUUAAACAUGACACAGUUGCUUGACCUUUCACAUUUGAUCAAUCCAAAAUUAAUUAACUUGAAAUUAAAAUAAGAAAUACCAGAUGUUUCCUGGUCACGUUUUGUGAAAUUAGUCUAAAAAAGAUGUAUUUUAAUGCGAAAGACAAUGUCAUGUUUAGUGGAGUAUUUAAAAACUAUAAAAAUUUUGACGGAUUUCAGCUAAUCGCAUUUUAAUGUUGUUUUUUUUGCAAUCAGGUCAAUAUCAAGGUGUUUAUAGUGUAUUCUUAAUGUUUAUGUUGGGUACUAAUCAGUUCUGAUUAUGAUGACUUCCUUAAUGCAUACAUAUGUGUUACACUAUGUGUAGUCCAACUAAUUUAGGUAAAAAGUGGACAAUGUUAUUCAAUUUUGCAACUAUUAAUAUCUCUCCUUCUUUAUCCAUUGCAAGAAAAUAAAUGCCUGGUAAAAACAUGACAUUUAUAUUUAAUAUCUUUGCAAUUUUAUAUUGCAUAUUAUUUAAGAAAUGCUAUUAUCACACUAUAUGUAUAUUGAAAAUCGUUACAAUAACAAUAAACAGCUCUAUGCAA